rnacentral:lncRNA from 1 species
UGUGGUAGUGAAUUUAUGGCCCAAACACCCCUAAGAGCCAAGUAAUCUUUUUAAGAAAAUUUUCUCUUUGAUUUCUUCUUGAACGUAGAUUAAGAUUUUUCGAGUUUUAUUUGCUGAUUUCUUGGGAGAAAAUUGGAUGCUCGAAGUGCUCUAUUUUUUGUUUGGCCAUCCUUAUUAAUUGUUCUUCCAGUGCCAUUCGUCACC